GAAGAACGGAUAUUGUGAACAGAUUGACCAGAAGAAAAAAAGAAGAAGAAAAAUGAAGCAUGGGACGGCGAAAACGGAGGCUUUUCUAAGGCUUUGUGCAGUCUUAGUCCUAGUCCUUACGGCAUGUUUAGUAGGUUUCGAUUCUCAAACCAAAUAUGUGAUUUUCAUUUAUAGAAAAGCUACCUUCAGAGAUUUGAAGUGCCUCUCGUAAGUUCCCUUUUUCCUCUCUUUGCUCUUUCUCUUUGACAUUUGGCCUUUCGAUUUUCUUCCUUGCUUACUUAUAAGUACGUUAACGUUCAAAACUUGGUUUUUUUUUUGGAAAGAGUUUUGGUUUAUGUUGUUUCUGUGGCUGCCGGUUACAAUCUGCUUCAACUUGGAAAGUGUUCAAAGUCAGCUUGGUGCAAAGAAAACUUGAAAGGGUCUAACAUAUACGUAGCUUGGCUUUGCUUCUUGCUGGAUCAGGUAUUUACCCUUUCCCAUGUAUAGAGUUUGCCUCUCUUUGGAUGUCUUUUAUGAGUUUUUAUUUUUAUUUUUUAUACAAGCGAUAUUCUACUUUAAUCUAAUCUAAAUUACGGGGAUUGCGAUUCGAAUUCGAGUGCAGAGUAGAGUGCACAUCUACUUUAGCCAACUUGACGCCCAUAUUUGCAUGUCUUUUAUGAGUUCUUCAUAUAGAUAAAACCAAAAUUAUAGGUAUUGUUAAAAGAAAUUUGAAGAUAACUUAGGAUUAAAUUUUUAGCUGGCUUAUAUUUUAUGCACUUGCACAAUCUUUAUUUUUUCCUUUUUUGUUGCUUUUGUACACAAUAAUACUCCCAGUUCCAAGAAUAACUUUUGUUUAUGUUUCAGAUACACCAGCCAGGAACAUAAAAAAAUUUCUUCAGUCCCAGGACAAGCAACACUUAGGAUGUCUUAUUUAAUUCGUCUCUCUUUGAUGAGAAAGUUUUCCCAAUGUUCCUUCCCUAGUCUCUCUCUCGCGCCUACCCCAUCUCCCUCUUCUCCCAACUACCAAUUACCUUGCAAUCCCACAUAAACCACAUAUGCAUUCAGAGUAUAUGGAAAUCUAAUCUUCUUUGUACUUUACAUAUUACUAGCCUUCCCUUCGGAAACCAACCAAGGCAACUGGUUAAGAUGGGUGAGGGUAUAAAUCUUAGAUUUGGUCCUCUACUUAUUCAAACAAGUCAUUGUCUAUUAUUGUGAGCUUAUAACUAAACAGGAUACUAAAAUGAUUAUUUGUAUGAAGUCGUAUUAAGUUAGCCCUCAACCCUAACUCGUAGUGGCAUCCCACUCUCGAGAGGGAAACAAUUAUAGAGUCAACAAAAAAAUUAUAUAAAAAAUUUAAAAAUUCCACACUCUGUAAUGUUGUAUUUGUAACAUGUAAAUAAAUGAAACUAACCAUCUAUUCGUCUUGUUGCAUCUUGCUGCAUAUAAUUUGCUAAACAGGUAGCUGUGUACGUGACAUUUGGAGCAAACUCAGCUGCGCUUGAGGCUUCUGUGCUAGCAAUAAAAGGCGCACAAGAUUUUCAAUGGAUGAAGUUGUGCAACAAAUAUACAAGAUUCUGCUUUCAAAUUGGUGGGGCUUUGGCAUGUGGGUAUGUGGCCUGUAUCCUAAUGGCUUGGAUAUCCCUCAUCAGCGCCUUCAAUCUCUUUAGGCUUUACUCACCGAAACAAUUCCUUUUGUUAAAGAGCAGAGGGUGACAGGUUUUCUAAGCAAAUAAUGUAUAAAUUAUGAAUGUUUAUCUAGAAAUAAAUUUAAUGAAAUCAAAUAAAGCUUUGACACCAAAAGCAAUGGAUACUUGUAAAGCACAGACUUGUCAGAAGAGAAGGCACACAUUCGAGAAGAGAAGCAAAUAGAAUGGGAGUGACAGUUUUAUUGAUCACUUUAAUAUUCAUCUCUAAUUUUUAAUACAAGAAAAAUAGUCUAAAUUAUAAGUGAAAUGGGAG
rnacentral:lncRNA from 1 species